GAUGAACGCUGGCGGCGUGCCUAACACAUGCAAGUCGAGCGAUUCUCUUCGGAGAAGAGCGGCGGACGGGUGAGUAACGCGUGGGUAACCUGCCCUGUACACACGGAUAACAUACCGAAAGGUAUGCUAAUACGAGAUAAUAUGCUUUUAUCGCAUGGUAGAAGUAUCAAAGCUCCGGCGGUACAGGAUGGACCCGCGUCUGAUUAGCUAGUUGGUAAGGUAACGGCUUACCAAGGCGACGAUCAGUAGCCGACCUGAGAGGGUGAUCGGCCACAUUGGAACUGAGACACGGUCCAAACUCCUACGGGAGGCAGCAGUGGGGAAUAUUGCACAAUGGGCGAAAGCCUGAUGCAGCAACGCCGCGUGAGCGAUGAAGGCCUUCGGGUCGUAAAGCUCUGUCCUCAAGGAAGAUAAUGACGGUACUUGAGGAGGAAGCCCCGGCUAACUACGUGCCAGCAGCCGCGGUAAUACGUAGGGGGCUAGCGUUAUCCGGAAUUACUGGGCGUAAAGGGUGCGUAGGUGGUUUCUUAAGUCAGAGGUGAAAGGCUACGGCUCAACCGUAGUAAGCCUUUGAAACUGGGAAACUUGAGUGCAGGAGAGGAGAGUGGAAUUCCUAGUGUAGCGGUGAAAUGCGUAGAUAUUAGGAGGAACACCAGUUGCGAAGGCGGCUCUCUGGACUGUAACUGACACUGAGGCACGAAAGCGUGGGGAGCAAACAGGAUUAGAUACCCUGGUAGUCCACGCCGUAAACG
rnacentral:rRNA from 1 species